GACGAACGCUGGCGGCAUGCUUUACACAUGCAAGUCGAACGGGGUGAGGGGGCAACUCUUCAUUCAGUGGCGAACGGGUGAGUAAUACAUCGGAACGUACCCCGUAGUGGGGGAUAACUCGGCGAAAGCCGUGCUAAUACCGCAUAUGCUCUACGGAGGAAAGCAGGGGACCGCAAGGCCUUGUGCUAUGGGAGCGGCCGAUGUCCGAUUAGCUAGUUGGUGAGGUAAUGGCNCACCAAGGCGACGAUCGGUAGCUGGUCUGAGAGGAUGAUCAGCCACACUGGGACUGAGACACGGCCCAGACUCCUACGGGAGGCAGCAGUGGGGAAUUUUGGACAAUGGGGGCAACCCUGAUCCAGCCAUGCCGCGUGCGGGAAGAAGGCCUCGG
rnacentral:rRNA from 1 species